rnacentral:rRNA from 1 species
GGCUCAGGACGAACGCUAGCGGCGCGCCUAACACAUGCAAGUCGAACGAGCGAGAGAGAGUUUACUUUUUCGAGCGAGUGGCGAACGGGUGAGUAACGCGUGAGGAACCUGCCUCAAAGAGGGGGACAACAGUUGGAAACGACUGCUAAUACCGCAUAAGCCCACGACCCGGCAUCGGGUAGAGGGAAAAGGAGCAAUCCGCUUUGAGAUGGCCUCGCGUCCGAUUAGCUAGUUGGUGAGGUAACGGCCCACCAAGGCGACGAUCGGUAGCCGGACUGAGAGGUUGAACGGCCACAUUGGGACUGAGACACGGCCCAGACUCCUACGGGAGGCAGCAGUGGGGAAUAUUGCACAAUGGGGGAAACCCUGAUGCAGCGACGCCGCGUGGAGGAAGAAGGUCUUCGGAUUGUAAACUCCUGUUGUUGAGGAAGAUAAUGACGGUACUCAACAAGGAAGUGACGGCUAACUACGUGCCAGCAGCCGCGGUAAAACGUAGGUCACAAGCGUUGUCCGGAAUUACUGGGUGUAAAGGGAGCGCAGGCGGGAAGACAAGUUGGAAGUGAAAUCCAUGGGCUCAACCCAUGAACUGCUUUCAAAACUGUUUUUCUUGAGUAGUGCAGAGGUAGGCGGAAUUCCCGGUGUAGCGGUGGAAUGCGUAGAUAUCGGGAGGAACACCAGUGGCGAAGGCGGCCUACUGGGCACCAACUGACGCUGAGGCUCGAAAGUGUGGGUAGCAAACAGGAUUAGAUACCCUGGUAGUCCACACUGUAAACGAUGAUUACUAGGUGUUGGAGGAUUGACCCCUUCAGUGCCGCAGUUAACACAAUAAGUAAUCCACCUGGGGAGUACGACCGCAAGGUUGAAACUCAAAGGAAUUGACGGAAGGGC